GCAAGUCGAACGAGAAACUCCGAGCUUGCUCGGAGGAGUAAAGUGGCGCACGGGUGAGUAACUCGUGGGUAACCCGCCCUUGAAUUUGGGAUAACCCCGUGAAAACGGGACUAAUACCGGAUAUUAUCCUGAGAACCGUGGUUGUCGGGAUGAAAGGUGACCUCUUCAUGAAAGUUGCCGUUCAGGGAAGGGCCCGCGUACCAUUAGCUUGUUGGUAGGGUAAUGGCCUACCAAGGCGACGAUGGUUAGCUGGUCUGAGAGGAUGAUC
rnacentral:rRNA from 1 species